UUAUCCGUAUUACUACGACUAACUCAGAGAGCACAUUCCGUCGUCAUCAACGCUGUUUCGGCCGCCGGCCAGCGCCUGGUCAUCCAGGCAACACGCCCCGCCCUGGGGCGGCCGGCCGAGGCAACGGGAUACCAUCAUGGUUCACAGGGGUUGAGCGGGAAUAGAUACUCGCUAAUGAUCCCUCCGCUGGUUCACCAACGGAGA
rnacentral:misc_RNA from 1 species